UCCGAUGUGGUCCAACGGUUAAGACGCCUCGCUCUCCCCAAAACACCGGCUGAAUAGGUCCAAGCAAAAUGAGAAAAUCGCAGGUUCAAAUCCUGUUCGCGUUUACGCGGUGGUCUAGCGGAUAAGGCAUCUCACUGAACGAUACAAGACCUGGUCGGUGUGAAAGUGGGAGAUGAGGAGAUUGGGGUUCGAUUCCUUGCAUUGGAA